rnacentral:rRNA from 2 species
UACGAAGGGGGCUAGCGUUGUUCGGAAUUACUGGGCGUAAAGCGUAUGCAGGCGGAUCUUUAAGUCAGGGGUGAAAUCCCGAGGCUCAACCUCGGAACUGCCUCUGAUACUGGGGAUCUUGAGUCCGGGAGAGGUUAGUGGAACUGCGAGUGUAGAGGUGAAAUUCGUAGAUAUUCGCAAGAACACCAGUGGCGAAGGCGGCUAACUGGCCCGGUACUGACGCUGAGAUACGAAAGCGUGGGGAGCAAACAGG